AUUGAACGCUGGCGGCAGGCCUAACACAUGCAAGUCGGACGGUAGCACAGAGGAGCUUGCUCCUCGGGUGACGAGUGGCGGACGGGUGAGUAAUGUCUGGGGAUCUGCCCGAUAGAGGGGGAUAACCACUGGAAACGGUGGCUAAUACCGCAUAACGUCGCAAGACCAAAGAGGGGGACCCUCGGGCCUCGCACUAUCGGAUGAACCCAGAUGGGAUUACCUAGUAGGCGGGGUAACGGCCCACCUAGGCGACGAUCCCUAGCUGGUCUGAGAGGAUGACCAGCCACACUGGAACUGAGACACGGUCCAGACUCCUACGGGAGGCAGCAGUGGGGAGUAUUGCACAAUGGGCGCAAGCCUGAUGCAGCCAUGCCGCGUGUAUGAAGAAGGCCUUCGGGUUGUAAAGUACUUUCAGCGGGGAGGAAGGCGAUGUGGUUAAUAACCGCAUUGAUUGACGUUACCCGCAGAAGAAGCACCGGCUAACUCCGUGCCAGCAGCCGCCGUAA
rnacentral:rRNA from 1 species